UUCUCCUUAUAACAGUCCUCCCAGUGCCAGGGACAGGGGAUCAGCCUAUCUCUAUUUAUUUUAUAGACAUUAUAGAUUCUAUAGACAUCCAGAUCUUCCUUUUUCUUCUCAGCCCUGGGACUGUUGCUGGCUUGGAGGCAUUUUGGAAAUAAUGAAUUUACUGCACCUCUUGGUCGCCUCCCCCUUUUCCACCCCUAGGGGCAAAAGCCACUACAUUUCCUCUGGAGCAGCACAGAAUAAGGAAGCGUUGGGUUGUAUAUAGCUUUUUAUUAUUAGAUGUAGAUAGAUUAUUUUCCCUGUGCUCAGGAUUUUUCUCUUUUGUCCCCACCUUAUUUUUUUAUUUUUUUUCCCUCCUUGUAAUGUUUUCUUGAAGCUCCACACAGGCAGCAUCACUGGAUCAGACACAGGGAGAGAGAGAGGGAGAGAGAGAAGGGGAGAGGGAGACAGAGAUACAACAUGGGUUCCUGAGCACAAGGUCCCCGGUUACAACGCUAGUUCCUGUGGAGUGCGGCACCUAUGGACAUAGCUGCAAGCAUUACAAGAGAGAUAAGUCAUUCCAUAUCCCAUAGCUUUACCACCAAUGUUUCAGUAUUUAGAGUAUGAAAUAUAAUCUACACAGGGUAAAGACAGGCAAUGCAUAUGAAUAGUUGACAGUAUAUUGUUCACAUUCAUGCUAUAUCCAUUAGCUUUAACUGUUCCAAAAUGCAUAAUAUAAGAAUGUUUAGUUAUACACGUUAUGAAUAGUUGAGAGCAUAUAGUAUACAAGUAAUUAUGGGGCAAUUGUUUUAUUCAUAUGUAUGUAGCUUUGUAUGCAUCUAUUUUGAUAUCUAAAUCAUAAUGCUAAAUCAUUGCAUAAACAGUGUGAAUAUAUGCCUAUUCCUAGCCAACAGUAUGUAGUAGAGGGACAGUAAUCAGAGAAUAGCAUGGGGACAGUUCACUGUACAUAAGGGACUUCAUGUUAUUGAUAGUGAUUCUAUACCUAGAUGUGAUAUAUGAUUAAAAAUAUGACUAUGCAUAUAUACAAUUAUAUAGCAUGUAAACAGUUAACAGGACACAAAGAGUUAAUGCCAUAUGAUACAGAAGGAAUGCUAUUCCUAUUGAUAUCUCUGAUCAGAUAAUGACUCUCUCUCUUGUCUUUGCAGGGUGCUCAGACUGUGAAUAGGAGUCUCCAGGGUGCAAGAGGGAAUACACUACGUAUGGAGGACAGUGAACCCCAAUUACACUGGAGGGGAGCCCAAGAGGUCCAGAACUGCUUACACCAGGCAGCAAGUAUUGGAACUGGAGAAAGAAUUUCAUUAUAACAGAUAUCUGACCAGGCGAAGGCGCAUUGAGAUAGCCCACUCC